rnacentral:lncRNA from 10 species
CCUAUGUCCAAGAAAAUUAAGGAAUGCAGACACAAGGGUCGGGGUGGAGUCAAAGUUUAAUAAGCAAAAAAGAAAGCUUUCUGCAGCAGAGAGGGGAGUCCAAGUGGAUUGCCGGGUUACAGCUGAAUUUAAAAGCGUUUUAUAAGAAACUGCUCUCUUCCCUGUAACUGUUGGAAUAACUUUUCUUACCAGUAAAGCUGUCUGUGCAAUUCUUCUUCUCUUAUGCAGCUGUGGGUAUGUCUCUAGGCAAGCACAAAGCCCCACUUCUCUUGUUUGUAUAACUGUGGGUUUGUUUUAGGUAAGCCCCCUCCCUCCCUGUGCAAGUUCCCACCAUGUAUAUGCCUGUAAAGGGGAGGAAACUUUUUCCUGGGAGCUCACUAAUUGUACAAAGAACAAAGAGCUUUUGAGCUGGACCCUGUUUGCUUAUCUGUUUGCAGGUGCAGCCUGAGUUUUUUUCCAGGUUAUUUUAUUUUUUCCUGUUGCUGUGACUUUUCAGGCAGGCCACUUCUGCAGUCUGAAUUUUUCCCAUAUGAUUUUUCCUUCCCUUCUCCCUCACUGAGAACAGGGCCAAAGGGGUGCUGGACUGGACUGUGGGAGAGGCCAAGGUGUAUGCAGAGAGCUUGCAGAGGAAGGACAGACAGGGCAGCUUUCCCCAGCAUGUGCAAGGAGCUUCAGAACAGCUGAUGUUUAGAUGGGAGCCUCGGACCUGCAAGAACAAAAUAAACAAAAGCUCCCUAUUGUUUAUUCAUUCUAAUAAUCUGAGAGAGACCCUAAUGGUCAUCAAAUUCAAUUCAUAAUUUUGAAAAUAAGGCCUUGAGCCCACCUAGUGGUCUCCUGCAUCCAAGGCCAGGCUGGUGGCACCUGCUGUUUACCUCUUGUUCUCCUCAAAGGAAGGAAGCUCCAUGUCUACCUGUCUCUGAGGGGAGCCAUCCAUACACGGGGGAGUGACUUAGCAUAUGCUUCCUUGGAAAGAAGAUGCUCACUCAGGUGUUUUUGCUUAUUUUUUGGUAAGUUAGGAGAACUUCGUUCUGGUGCCUACCACUUUCACUAGACAAAAAUCAUGUUUACAUCUGAAAGAGAAAAGGAUUCCUGCUUAGUUUCCUUUUUGUGUCUGUACUUAGGGAAAAGUUAGCAGAUAAACUCUACCUAUUUUUUAAAAAUAAGGCCAAUUUAAGAGUGUCAAAAGGUUCAUGUUAUUUAUUCAGGAUUAUUUGUUUUUACUCCUAUACUUGUUCGACACUAGUAUAGACUUACUCAUCUUCACUUGGAAAUUUUAUAAUUCUAACCCAAGGGAAAUAACCCUUCUUUGAUUGCUGUAAUCCAUUUCCUUCUUCACAUGUCUUUUUAUCUCUUUUUAAAGAAAGUCAUACGCUUGACUUGUAACACUUCAUGCUACCUGAGAAGAAAGGAAAAGUCACUUUGUGCUUGACUCACGUAAGAUUCACGUAAGAUGAUUGAAAUACCUGUUCACAAGAAUAAUAGCAGAGCAUUAUUUACGAACCUGUGCAUCAUAUUAAACAUCAUUUUCUUCUCUUUAUGUUUCACAAAAACAAGCUCUGCGGGGAUCUCUUUUGGCAAUAUGGCAAUCUAGUUAGCCAAAUCAUCCUUUCUGCUGAAAAUAACUAAAAAGUUUGAAAAUCAGAGCCUUCUUAAAAGCACUGAUGAGCUGGCAAGAAACCAAGAAAUACACAGGGCAAAAUCUGAGGGGAAGUGGGAACCGAAAGAAGCAAACAGAGUCAGCUUUUAGCUGGGGGACAUUUGCCAAGCUUGCUGAUUCUGAGCUUCAGCUUUCAUUGCCUCUGGGAGCACCAGAGGCAGGAGGCAAAGCAUGGGACAGCAAAGUGGGACAUCCUGGGAGACCCUCUUCCCUCAAAGAUGGUACCCUGAAGAACCCCACCCUUAGUGUAGGCUUGGCCUGGAAACAUAUUGUAAACCAAAAGAAAAUUCUUAGCCUCCCAACUGACUGAAUGACCCCUCCACCCUUGGACAAGAGAAUCCCAAUAAAACCUGAAAAACUAGUUCAGGCUUUCAUGCGCAUCCGUGUGAAGAGACCACCAAACAGGCUUUGUGUGAGCAAUAAAGCUGUUUAUUUCACAUGGGUGCAGGUGGUCUGAGUCUGAAAAGAGAGUCAGCGAAGGGAGAUAGGGGUGGGGCCGCUUUAUAGGGUUUGGGAAGAUAAUGGAAAAUUACAGUCAAAGGGGGUUGUUCUCUGGUGGGCAGGGGCGGGGGUCACAAGGUGCUCAGUGGGGGAGCUUCUGAGCCAGGAGAAGGAAAUUCACAGGGUUAAUCACUCAGUUAAGGUGGGGCAGGAACAAAUCACAAUGGUGGAAUAUCAUCAGUUAAGGCGUGGCAGGGCCUUUUCACUUCUUUUGUGAUUCUUCAGUUACUUCAGGCCAUCUGGGCGUAUACAUGCAAGUCACAGGGGAUGCGAUGGCUUGGCUUGGGCUCAGAGACCUGACAUUCCUGCCUUCUGAUAUUAAUAAGAAAAAUAAAACAAAAUAGUGUUGAAGUGUUGGGGUGGCAAAAAUUUUUGGGGGGUGGUAUGGAGAGAGAAUGGGCGAUGUUUCUCAGGGCUGCUUCAAGCGGGAUUAGGGGCAGCGUGGGAACCUAGAGUGGGAGAGAUUAAGCUGAAGGGAGGUCUUGUGGUAAGGGGUGAUAUUGUGGGGAUGUUAGAAGAGACAUUUCUUGUAUAGAAUGAUUGGUGAUGGCCUGGAUACGGUUUUGGAUGAAUUGAGAAACUAAAUGGAAGAUACAAGGUCCGAAUAAAAGAAGGAGAAAAAUGGGUAUUAAAGGACUAAGAAUUGGGAGGCCCUAGGACAUCCAAUUAGAGAGUGCCUAAGGGGUUCAGCAUAAUUACUUGCUUGGUUGGCAAGUUUUUGGGCUCUAUCCUUGAGUUUUUUUAUGUUGUCAUACACCAGGCCAGAUUGAUUUAGGUAAAAACAACACUCUUCAUUUAAGAAUAUGCAGAGUCCUCCUUUUUCAGCAGUGAGUAAGUCAAGGCCUCGGCGGUUUUGGAGGACAACUGCAGCUAAAGAGUCAACUUGGAGUACUGAUAAAGUUUGUGACAUGUCUGUGAUGCUAGCAGAGAAGUCAUUAGAGAGGCUACGGAAGGUCGAGACAGAAGUUGAAAUGCCUGCUAUUCCAGUACUGAGAGCAAUAGUGGAGGCAGAAAGUCCUAAACCGACCAUCAAGGGAAUUAGUGGAAUAACUCUUCUUUGUCAUGUCGGUGUCAUGAGGGGAACAGGGAGCUCUUCGGUCCUAUUUGCAAAUUGAAUUUUGGGGGAAAGGAAGACUAGUGUGCAUGUGCCUGUCCAAUUAGCAGGUAGACACAUGUAGGUAGAGGAACCACAGAGGAAGAAGAGACCUUGUGCAAGGCAAAACUGGAGAUGUAAAGUAAAAAGAUGAGAAGGAGUGCUGAAAGGGGUGUCUUGUACCUAGAGUCCUAGGGAUCCAGCUAGGGCGGCAGCUGUCAGAGGUUGUAAUGGGGACUGAUGGGGUAACUGCGUAGAGGGGGAGGUUCAAUUUUCAUGGUGUAUGAGAAAACAUUGAGUAUCUAUGAGCAACCUUUCACUGUUAUUUUCGGGGCUGGAUAUAAGUAAACAAGAAUAGGGCCUGGGAGGAGAGUCUGAUGAGCAAGGGGAAGGUAGCCAAGGAUGGAGUUCAAUACAGGGUAAGUGUCUUCCUAAGCAAUAAUUACUGCUAACAUUUUUAAGUUUAUCAGUAUUGAUAGAGGGCUUGUCUGUAAUAUGGAGCUGGAAGGCUCCAAUUGUUUCAGUGAUGUGUGUAAUUGGGCUUCGGAGAUGAAGAGUAAAGGAACAUCGAGAGGGUGAAAGAUUACCUAGGGGAAUUCCAGUGGGUCUUUGCUGAGAGAUACAUAAAGGAGCGGCCACAGGAAUAGUAGUUUGUGUUGUGAGAGGUCCGAAUAUGGGGGGAGUAGAGUUAAUAUAAGGAGAAAGGUUUUUUAAAUAAGUGCGAAGGAGGGCGGCAGCUUGCUGAUGUGAAAUGUCUGGGGAAGUCUUGCUGGACCUGUCUAGAGAGUAAAUGAGUUCUUCAGGAGGGUAAAGAUGAGGGCUGCUAAAGGAAGUUCAGAGGUGUAGGGAGACGGGAGAUAUUGCCCAGUCUGUCUGUAAGGCGGGGACAGCUGUGUAGGCACUGGAAGAAAGGGAAAUGCAAAGCCAGCAGUUGUUCACUAAGGAGGGACUAGAAGUGGCUAGGAGAGAAUGGGUAAGGUUGAUAGUGUGGUGGAGAUAGCUGGGGAGAGGUAGAGGGUGGCAUAAGAAUGGGAACGAGAAUAAGAGUGAGUAUAAAAGUAAAGAAUAGAACUUCAUCAGGGUGGAAGUAUUGGAGGGUGCCUUGCCAGCAAAGAUCAUCUACCCACUCUAAGAGGGAGUUAAGAGUGGCAGUUUGGGGUUAGCACCAAGAGAUAUCAGCUGUGAUGGCUUGAAGAAACAGUGUAAACCGGCGGUGUAAAGAAGAGUAGGGCAUUUAUAAGUAGUUGAGAAUGGAGAAUAGGAGUAUGACCAGACAGAAGAUAGUAGGGAUGACUAGUUUUUUUGGGCUCGGCCUAAGUGGUUGGGGUGACUUCGUAAAGCCCUGUUGCAAAAAGUAGGGUAAGGACGAACAGACCUAAUAGAAUGAAGGGAUGUAUUAGGCUCAUAAGGGUUAUUACUGCUCUUCAGAAAUAUGAGUGAGUUUAAGGGAAGUAGGGGAGAGUACUUGCGGCUUCCAGGAGGAAGAGGAGGGAUUAGGCUGGCUGUCCGAUGGACACAGCUUUAUUCUGGAAUGGUGAACCUAGUGGGGAGGAUCCUGCAGGCAGACGGCAGUCGGGGUACUAUAGAAGACGAGGUAGCAUCCGGUCCAUCGAGGUUGUAGAGUUUGAGGGGUCAGAUUCUUAACAAGAACUGAUCAUCCAGCUAGGAUGUCUCCAUAUGGCUGGGGAUCUGGAGUAGGCAAGAGAAGAUUAGCAGCCUGGUGAAUUUCCUGUCUAGCCUGCUGGAGGACUGGAAGAUAGUCACCUAGAGGGCUGGUGUCUGGGAUGAGGUUGGGGCCAAGCAAGAAAGUGUGUCCAUAUAAAAGUUCAAAUGGACCGUACCCUGUAGCAUCUCAAGGACAGGCUCUAAUUCUGAGAAGAGCAAGAGGUAAAAGUACUGUCCAAUCCUUUUUAAGUUGGAGGCUGAGCUUGGUGAGGUUUACCUUUAAAAGACCAUUAGUCCAUUCUACCUUUCCUGAAGAUUGAGGAUGGUAAGGGAUAUGAAGGUUCCACUGAAUACCAAGAGCCUGAGAAACUGCUUGGGUGAUUUGACUAGUAAAGGCUGGUCUGUCAUCAGACUGUAUAGAGGUGGGAAGCCUAAACUGAGGAAUUAUGUCUGACAGAGGGGAAGAAAUGACUGUGGUGGCCUUCUCAGACCCUGUAGGAAAGGCCUCUACUUAUCUAGUGAAAGUGUCUACUUAGACUAAGAGGUAUUUUAGUUAUCUGACUUGGGGCAUGUUGAGUGAAGCUAAUUUGCCAGUCCUGGGUGGGGGCAAAACCUUGAGCUUGAUGUGUAGGGAAGGGAGGGGGCCUGAAUAAUCCUUGAGGAGUAGUAGAAUAGCAGAUAGAAUAGCAGAUGGAACACUUGAGAAGUUAUUUCCUUGAGGAUAGAUUUCUACAAUGGAAAGGAAAUGAAAGGUUCAAAGAGGCGGGCUAGUGGCUUGUACUAUAGCAUAGCCUGCCUUUGCUGAUGUGUGGUGAUUAGGCCUGGUGGAACUGCCAUCAAUAAAUCAAGCGUGAUCAGGGUGAGAAACAGGGAAGAAGGAAAUGUGGGGAAAUAGGAUGAACAUCAGGUGGAUCAGAGAGAUGCAAUCAUGAGGGUCAGGUGUGGUAUCAGGAAUACUGUGGGAGGCUGGAUUGAAGUCCAGGCCAGGAACAAUGGUAAUUGUGGGACUUAACAAAGAGUGAGUACAGCUGAAGGAGCUGGGGAACAGAAAGUAUAUGCGUCAGGUAUGAGGAAGAAAAUAGAUUUUGGAAGUUAUGAGAAAUGUAGAGAGUGAGUUGAGCAUUGUUUGUGAUUUUUAGGGCCUCUAAAAUUAUUAAAGCAGCAGCAGCUGCUGCACACAGACAUGAGGGCUAGGCUAAAACAGUAAGGUCAAGUUGUUUCGACAGAAAGGCUACAGGGUGCGGUCCUGGCUCUUGUGUAAGAAUUCUGACGGCACUAACCAUGCCUAGGAAGGAAAGGAGUUGUUGUUUUGUAAGGGAUUGAGGUUUGGGAGAUUAAUUGGACAUGAUCAGCAGGGAGAGCAUGUGUGUUUUUAUGAGAAUUAUGCAGAGAUAGGUAACAGAUGGAGAAGAAAUUUGAGCUUUGGAGGGGGAUACCUGAUAUCCUUUGGAGAAUAAAUGCUGAAGAAGCAGAAGUGUGUCUUGUUGAGAAGAUUCAAAGGAGGGGCUACAAAGAAGAAGGUCAUCAAUAUAUUGAAUAAGGUUUUGACAUAAUUUGGUGUCAGAAGUAGAAUUGAAGCUGGUUAGUUGGACAGAUGGACAACCCCUGAAAUUGAGUGAAUUGCCUGUGCUGAGCCCUUUUGAGCUCUCCACCUCCGUGGCUGACCUUUUCUACCCUGCUGAAUCUCCUCUCAGAUUCCUGGACUCCUUUUUGGUUCCUCCAAUCAACUUUUUUUCCAUGGAAUUGCUAAAAAUGGGAGCCUCUCUGUUUCUGCAGCCCUAUAAACUGAAAUUAAAUUUUAAGGGACAAGUUGCCUUUCUGAUGGUUGGGCUACAUGGCAAGUUCUCCAGACCACCUGAUGCCAUAACCAAAGACAUUCCAGCAGCAAUCCAGGACAUAAUGUUGCUGGCUUCAUGCUAUGGACAGCUUUUCCCAAGGUGACAAAACAAGAGCCCUCAUCGUAGUGAGACUCUAGCUCCUCUUAGUUUUUUCUCAUUUAUGCCUAUCUCUUUCACUUGGCAGGAUAAUCAUGUAAUUAAAGUUUCACAGAUACUACUGGGGGUACCUUGACAGAAUCUGACCUAAAAAUAUUUAGUCCACCUAAUGAGUAACUUUAACUAUCCUCAAUACAUCUAUUGCUCAUUCUGCUUUAAUUCAACUCAGUCAGGAGAUACUAGAUGAUAGAAAUACUCUGUAGUAUCUAUUGGUUAAAUAAGAAAAUGUCUGUGCUAUUGCUAAUAUUACAUGCUGUACCUGGAUAAAUUUCUCUGGGAACAUUGAGACUCAAAUACGCAAAAUAAUAAAACAGGCCACAUCAUUACAACAGGUCUCAUCUAACUCACCAUAGUCAUUUGAUUUACUCAAUUGGUUGCCUUUAAGCCUAGACUCGUGGCUCAUAAUUGUUAUAUAAACUGAGAUUAUCAUAUUACUAUUAUUUUUACUUUGUAUUUUCUUUUCUUUUCCUUUUUUUUUUUAACUUUGUACCCGUUGCUUGUCAAAUUUCUACAAUACAAAUCCUAACAAAAGAAUGCUAGCCCAGCACUUUGAGAUGAUAAUCAAUGUUUAUGGAACAGACAAAAUUCAACUUAACAAUGGACUGCAGUCCCAGCUUUAUCAGUUAUGUGUGGUCUUGGACAAGUUAUUUUACUUCUCUGAACUCAGUUUUCUCAUUCAUAAAGUGGAAAUAAUAAUCUCUAUCUUAUGGGAUUGUUGAAAGGACUAGAAUGAAUAUAUGCAAAGCUCUUGGUAGAAAUUGAGAACUCAAUGAAGACAGAAGAGAUGAUCUGGUAUCAUACCUUAGUAUGGACUUAUCCAGUGAGUCCCUCUGUUAUUUCUCUGGAG